GCUCCUAUAGUGUAGUCCGGCCAAGCAGUAUUUAUUAUAGAAAUAUAUACUUGAAUGCUAGGCUUUCACCCUGGUGACCCGGGUUCAAAUCCCGGUAGGAGCA
rnacentral:tRNA from 1 species